GGCGGGGGCGCGGGUCUGGCCGCGGCGAGUCGCCGUGAAGGUGCGGUCCCCGAACCACGCGGUGCGCGCGAUGGGGCCGCGGCCGCGACUGAGCCUGCUCCGGGACCGCCGACAGCUGAGGAGACUGCCCACUCGCCUCGCACCCCCUUCAAAGUAAUGACGUCAUAGAUUUUUCAGUGAUCUUCAGCCCGACGCUUUUAGCACACCAGGUCGGACAUGAACCAGCGGGGCCCGGCGACACCCCGGCGCGCCGCACAGCCCCAGCAGCAGGAGGCAGCAGCUGAG